GCGCCUCCGCUCCCGGAAGCCGCACCAGCCGCCGCCGGGCCCGCCGGUCACCGGUGUGUGAGUCAGGGUCCUGGCAGCAAGCACACUCAAGUGGAUUUGGGAAAGAGCUGGAUGAAGAGACUAUUUACAGAGGUGGAAGAAAAAUCUGAUGCAGCAGAUUCCCUCUGGAUAGAACCACUCAGGAGAGAAGAUGUCACCUUGGAGAGGAGCCAGAAAAGGAGCCAGGAGAAUGG
rnacentral:lncRNA from 1 species